rnacentral:lncRNA from 1 species
UCCAUUUUCAUUUUGCAUUGCUAUAAAAAUUCUUCCUUUUUACUUGUUAGCAAGCUGGCAAGUGCAAGUAAAAAAUGCGAAGCUUCACUGUCUCACUAAUGCCAUGCAGUGAAAGAAAGGCGUGGAAUAAGCAAGCCGAUAAAGAACUGGCGCAUCUCUUGAGAUGCACUUGAAGUCUGAAAAGCUCUUGGUCUGACUCCUUCCUGCUUUAUUGGUCUGAGCAACAUUCCUGUGACCCUGGUUCCAACGAAUGUUGAAUCCAUUCGCACAAGAAACCCGCGAUUGAUUCAGGAAGAAUUGUGGAACAUUUCCGAUCAUUACCAACUGAUCACUGAGGUGCACCAGUUUGGAUGUGGAGGCAUUCUGUGCUGCUUGCCUGACCAGGCCUGCAUCACAGACCUACUAAGAUGCACAACAUUCGCUUCUCAUCCGAUGAAAAUGAAGCAGCCUCCGGAAAUCCAGGGUCACAUCCUAAACAGGCUACUUCAAGGUCUUCUUCAUGUUUCACCUGCCCAAAUGCACCUUGAACUAGCUACCACUUGCAAGUGCAGUUCUAGUCGUAUGCAAAGGAGGAACAUAAGGUCUACUGUACUUAUAUUGACAUUGAAGUUCUAGUGAGGUUCAGAUUUAUAAUGUAGAUUGCAAAUUGUCAAAACAAUGCCAUGCAUCACUUUUUUUACUUUGCAAGAUAACUCAUUGAAAAUAUGUGAACAUGAAAUCAGUCAUUGUUAUACAUGUUUAUGGGGUUCAAUAAUGUAAAGUGCCUCUAAUAAAACAGUCACAGAAGUAUAGAAAGAACCUUAACUUCUUAUUAGAAGAACAUUUCUUUGCUCUGAACUUUGUCUGCAAAUAUUUCGAAGCACUCAUGAGUGAUGAAAUAUAAGGCAGCACACAUAUGACAUGAUAGAGAAUUGAGCUCCAAUUGUUUGGUGCUCAUUAUCAUGUUCAUUCAAUUGCGUAGCAACAUGAAGCACAUGGAUAUGCAGCCAAAUAUAAAAUAAAUAGUGCCGACUCUGUAGGUGCCUUCAUUAUAUAGC